rnacentral:rRNA from 1 species
AGAGUUUGAUCCUGGCUCAGAUUGAACGCUGGCGGCAUGCUUUACACAUGCAAGUCGAACGGCAGCACGGGGGCAACCCUGGUGGCGAGUGGCGAACGGGUGAGGAAUGCACCGGAACGUAUCUUCAAGUGGGGGAUAACGCAUCGAAAGGUGUGCUAAUACCGCAUAAUCUCUGAGGAGAAAAGCAGGGGAUCGCAAGACCUUGCGCCUUUGGAGCGGCCGAUGCCUGAUUAGCUUGUUGGUGAGGUAAAAGCUCACCAAGGCUCCGAUCAGUAGCUGGUCUGAGAGGACGACCAGCCACACUGGGACUGAGACACGGCCCAGACUCCUACGGGAGGCAGCAGUGGGGAAUUUUGGACAAUGGGGGCAACCCUGAUCCAGCCAUGCCGCGUGAGUGAAGAAGGCCUUCGGGUUGUAAAGCUCUUUCAGCCGGAACGAAACGGUCACGGUUAAUACCCGUGACUACUGACGGUACCGGAAGAAGAAGCACCGGCUAACUACGUGCCAGCAGCCGCGGUAAUACGUAGGGUGCGAGCGUUAAUCGGAAUUACUGGGCGUAAAGCGUGCGCAGGCGGUUUUGUAAGUCAGAUGUGAAAUCCCCGGGCUUAACCUGGGAACUGCGUUUGAAACUGCAAGGCUAGAGUGUGGCAGAGGGGGGUGGAAUUCCGCGUGUAGCAGUGAAAUGCGUAGAGAUGUGGA